CAAACUUCCGAUGGCGACCGGCGCACGGGUGAGUAACACGUAUGCAACCUGGCCCGCGGACGGGGGACAACCCGGGGAAACCCGGACUAAUACCCGGCGGGGCCUGAGGGGGCAUCCCUCCCGGCUGAAGGAGGCGACUCCGCCGCGGGAUGGGCAUGCGGCGCAUUAGCUUGUUGGCGGGGCAACGGCCCACCAAGGCGACGAUGCGUAGGGGUUCUGAGAGGAAGGUCCCCCACACUGGAACUGAGACACGGUCCAGACUCCUACGGAAGGCAGCAG
rnacentral:rRNA from 1 species